rnacentral:rRNA from 1 species
UACGUAGGGGGCAAGCGUUGUCCGGAAUCAUUGGGCGUAAAGAGCUCGUAGGCGGUCUGUUGCGUCGGCUGUGAAAACCCGGGGCUCAACUCCGGGCCUGCAGCCGAUACGGGCAGACUAGAGUUCGGCAGGGGAGACUGGAAUUCCUGGUGUAGCGGUGAAAUGCGCAGAUAUCAGGAGGAACACCGGUGGCGAAGGCGGGUCUCUGGGCCGAUACUGACGCUGAGGCGCGACAGCGUGGGGGAGCAAACAGG